AUUGAACGCUGGCGGCAGGCCUAACACAUGCAAGUCGAGCGGAUGAAGGGAGCUUGCUCCUGGAUUCAGCGGCGGACGGGUGAGUAAUGCCUAGGAAUCUGCCUGGUAGUGGGGGAUAACGUCCGGAAACGGGCGCUAAUACCGCAUACGUCCUGAGGGAGAAAGUGGGGGAUCUUCGGACCUCACGCUAUCAGAUGAGCCUAGGUCGGAUUAGCUAGUUGGUGGGGUAAAGGCCUACCAAGGCGACGAUCCGUAACUGGUCUGAGAGGAUGAUCAGUCACACUGGAACUGAGACACGGUCCAGACUCCUACGGGAGGCAGCAGUGGGGAAUAUUGGACAAUGGGCGAAAGCCUGAUGCAGCCAUGCCGCGUGUGUGAAGAAGGUCUUCGGAUUGUAAAGCACUUUAAGUUGGGAGGAAGGGCAGUAAGUUAAUACCUUGCUGUUUUGACGUUACCAACAGAGUAAGCACCGGCUAACUUCGUG
rnacentral:rRNA from 1 species